CCUUAUUCAUAUCCUUGAGAUCAAGUAGCACAAAUUGUGAAGUGAAAAAAAAUUAAUACAUGGUUUUCAAAAUAUUAAUCAAAUAAAAAUCUAAAAAGUGUGCAAACGUAUUUAUCCCCCUUUACUCUGAAACCCCUAAAUAAAUAAAAUCCAGUCCAAUCAACUGCCUUCCGAAGUCAAUUAUUUUAUAGAGUCCAGCAGUGUGUAAUUUAGGCUCAGUAAAAAAAAUAUAAACACCUGUUUUUUCAAGGUGUUUGUGAAGGGAUCACACUUCUCAGCCUCCCUAGUAAGGUCCAUGCAGGGAAAGGAAAGUCAGACAGAAAGUCGUAUCUCAGAUACAGGAGAAACAACUAGAAGUCGUGCACUCCAAAAAUCUGGCAUUUAUGGAAGAGUGGCAAGAACAAAAGCUUGAUAUUUUUACAAAAAUAGGUAAAAUAAUUCAAAGCUCCAAUGUUGUUGUAUUUAACCUAGAAUUCUUGCACUUCAACAGGCAGCACUCUUUCAACUAAUACAAUUGAAGCCCCAGAAGACACUCUUCCAACUACUACAAGUGAAUCCACAGAAGGCACCCACUCUUCCCCAAGGAUCAGCACAGAAGACAAGGUUCAAGGCAUUGCUUUUCCAACUACUACAAGUAAAGUAUUAGAAGUCACCCACUCUUCCCCAAAGAUCAUCACAGAAGACAAGGUUCAAGGCAGCACUCCUCCAACUACUACAAGUGAAGCAAUAGAAGGCACUCACACAGCACUCAGCACAGAAGACAAGGUUCAAGGCAGUACUCUUCCAACUACUACAAGUGAAGCCCCAGAAAGCACCCACACUUCCCCAAAGAUCAGCACAGAAGACAAGGUUCAUGGUACAUAUGUGCACAUUUUUACUGAUGUUUUCAUUCUUUAUCCAAUGAGUUUUUCAUUGUUCUGUGAAGGCCUCAGAGGU
ensembl:lncRNA